GAUGAACGCUGGCGGCGUGCUUAACACAUGCAAGUCGAACGAUGAAGCCCAGCUUGCUGGGUGGAUUAGUGGCGAACGGGUGAGUAACACGUGAGUAACCUGCCCUUAACUCUGGGAUAAGCCUGGGAAACUGGGUCUAAUACCGGAUAGGAGCGUCCACCGCAUGGUGGGUGUUGGAAAGAUUUAUCGGUUUUGGAUGGACUCGCGGCCUAUCAGCUUGUUGGUGAGGUAAUGGCUCACCAAGGCGACGACGGGUAGCCGGCCUGAGAGGGUGACCGGCCCCACGGGGACUAAGAGAGGCCGCAGUCUCGAACGGGGGGCAACAGGGGGAAAUCUGGCACAGCGGGGCCGAGCGUGUGACGGAGGCCCGGGGGGAGGAAAGCCGGCUUGGGGGUAAAAAACCUCUUGGAGUGGGGAAGAACGGAAGGUGACGGUACCGGAAGAAGAAGCACCGGCUAACUACGUG
rnacentral:rRNA from 1 species